UUUAUUACCUUCUAGUUUUAAUUUGUUUUACAGAUUGUUACACGUGAUUUUAUGCUCUUUUAAAAGUUUAUAAAUGUGCUGCUUCUUUGUUUUUUAUAGAGCUCACAGCCUCAGUGUCUUGUGACACAGGGACCAUGACAGAAAUUCAUCUUCCAGAAGGUCCCAGAGCAUCCACACCUCCUGAAAAGACCAAGAUGUGAGGUGUCUGCUGUUGAUUCCAGCUUCCACCUCAGUGACAGUGCAAGCUCAGUGAACUGUUCAAGGUAAAAAAAUUAAAACAUUUCUGAAUUUUUAAGAUAUUAACAAUUAAAUAAGUAUGUGAUUACAUCAUGAAGGAGGCUACUGAUUCUGGCCCUGUGACACUUGGUGGUGACGUGUGAGCUGAUUCACCUGGACACUCAGCAAAAUAUGGACUCUACACCAUGAGGCAGGCACACGUUAAUAACUCUAUAAGAGCACAUAAGCCUGGCUGAUCACCUGAUAACUCCUGUCAUCUGGUUAUGACAGCAUGAGGAUGUCCUCACACACCUGUCAUCUGGUUAUGACAGCAUGAGGAUGUCCUCACACACCUGUCAUCUGGUUAUGACAGCAUGAGGAUGUCCUCACACACCUGUAACCUAUCAGCUCAUCUGGCAGAAUAGAGAGAGAAGAGACAACACCACAUCUCCUGUUCCUGGAAAGCCUUCAGCCAUCCUUCGAUGACUGAGAACCUCCAUCAGCUCUGUCUUCUGUCUGCCUACAAUUAUUAUAAUAAAUAUUGUGUUUGACAAGUUUUUUGUGCUGCCAAAUAUCUCAUUUUGAUUCCAGUUUUGAUAUUUUAAUGGAUAUUUAUAAAUUACAUUAAUUGAAUGAUCACAUUGUUGCAUGUUUAACUAGCUCUAUUGUGAUGAAUUAAACUAGCACCUCACUGUUAUAAGCUCGUUUUAAUUUCAAGCAUGUUUAAGUAUUUAUGGACAUGAACAAAAAUAGGAAAUAUAUCAAUUGAGAUUUAUUUAAUUAAUAUAACAAAUAAGGGGGAAAGAGUCAUUGAAAGGCACAUUCUUCUGGAAGCUCCUGAUCCUGACGACACCAGCAGGAGACCAGCUGCAGACACCAGAGGAUCACCUGCAACCAAGAGCAGCUAGUAUCAGUAAAUAAAUAAUGAAAUCAGGGCAGUUUUAGUGGGCUGAACACAUUACAGAAUAAUUUUCUCAUAGGAUAUUUUCAUAACUUUAUGCAGCAGACUGUAGCUUGAGCCCAGAUCUUCUGGAGACCUGCUAUCCAGCACGUUUCAGUGGAUUUUCCUGCUUUAACAGGUUAGAUAAGCUGUUAAGCAGCUCAGCUGUUUGUUGCUGAUUAAAACCAGGUGUGUUGAUGCUGAAUACUAGCUCUCGGGCCGUGGAGACAAAC